rnacentral:lncRNA from 1 species
AACCUCUUCCUUUUCCUCUUUUCGAAUGUCAACAUGCAUUCCCUUAUUUCUUCCAUUAUUUUUUCUAUCAAAAUCUUUCAUUGUUUCUUUCACACAUUUUUGAUCUUCAUAAACAUGGGAUGGAGUUAAAGGAACAAGUUUACAUUUUCUUUUAUUAGCUCAAAAGAAACUCUAUUCUUCCCCCUAUCAUAAAUUGCAUUCCUAUCAAACUGCCAGGGAUGCCUAAGAUUGAUAUGACAAGCUUGCAUUGGAAUUACAUCACAAAGAACAUUAUUAGAGUACCUUCCAAUGGAGAAAGAAAUUAUGCAUUACUUAGUCACCUUAAGUUCAGUAAAAUCAUUGUGUUUGAUGCAUGUAAGUUUUAAAUUCUUCACCACAUAUGAACUUAUCACUUUAGCAUCACUUUCAAAAUCAAUAAUCAUAGAGAAAAUAUUAUUCUUUAUCUCAUACCUUGUAUGAAAAUUACUUCUCCAUAAAUCAAUUAAAUUCACCUAAUUAGGUGGGUUUUGGGUGACCUCUAAUGCAUCGAGUCUGGCAGAAAUCCUUCUAAGUACCUAGGCUAUGUCAUUGUUUUGAGUCCCAACAUCAGUAUCUUUUGGAGACAUCUCCAAAAGUUAAAGAAAACAAAAACUCUCAAUUUAACCCUUUUUUUUUAUCUCACCCAUUCUUGCCCCUUUCCUACUCAAAUUGCU